rnacentral:tRNA from 1 species
GGAAGAGUGCCUGAAAAAGGACCAUCUUGAUAAGAUGAAAAAUGUGCCGUCCCCCCCUCCUCGAGCACCUCUUCCU